rnacentral:rRNA from 1 species
AGUGAACGCUGGCGGUAGGCCUAACACAUGCAAGUCGAACGGCAGCACAGGAGAGCUUGCUCUCUGGGUGGCGAGUGGCGGACGGGUGAGGAAUACAUCGGAAUCUACUCUGUCGUGGGGGAUAACGUAGGGAAACUUACGCUAAUACCGCAUACGACCUACGGGUGAAAGCAGGGGACCUUCGGGCCUUGCGCGAAUGAAUGAGCCGAUGUCGGAUUAGCUAGUUGGCGGGGUAAAGGCCCACCAAGGCGACGAUCCGUAGCUGGUCUGAGAGGAUGAUCAGCCACACUGGAACUGAGACACGGUCCAGACUCCUACGGGAGGCAGCAGUGGGGAAUGUUGGACAAUGGGCGCAAGCCUGAUCCAGCCAUACCGCGUGGGUGAAGAAGGCCUUCGGGUUGUAAAGCCCUUUUGUUGGGAAAGAAAUCCAGCUGGCUAAUACCCGGUUGGGAUGACGGUACCCAAAGAAUAAGCACCGGCUAACUUCGUGCCAGCCGCCGCCGUAA